rfam:Ixodes scapularis strain Wikel colony gcontig_1108378259386, whole genome shotgun sequence.
GCAGUCAUGGCCGAGUGGUUAAGGCGAUGGACUAGAAAUUCAUUGGGGUCUCCCCGUACAGGUCCGAAUCCGUGUCGACUGCG